GGUAACCCCAGAUCACACCAGGAUCUAAGGUUGGAUUAGUAAUAAUACGAACGUCUCCACCACCAGGAGCCCAGGUAUCAUAAACACCACCGAAGAACAUUGCUUUAAAGACUAACAAAAAGGCUCCACAUCCUAAGAGAAUGAGAUGGUAACCAAUAAUGUUGGUCAUUUGGUUUUUGUCCUUCCA
rnacentral:antisense_RNA from 1 species